GCUUUCUCAGCAUGUAUGCUUUGAUGAAAAAAGCUGUGAUUUUGGAAAAGCCCAUGUGUCAAGAAACGGAGACAGUCUCUAGCCAAUAGACAGCAAGGAACUCAGGCCCUCAGUCUAACAGCCUUUCACACUCAAGCCUUCUGAUGAGAGCUCAGUUCUCACCAACACAUUGAUUCCAGCCUUACGAGGGACUCUAUCUCAGAGAAUCCAGCUAAGUCGUGCCAGUAUUCCUGAUCCACAGAAACAGCGAGAUAAUAAAUGUGUGUUGUUUUAAGCCGCUAAAUUUUGUCAUAAUUUGUUACAAAGCAAGAAAUAAUUACUUUAAUUUAGGACCAAUGAUACAUUUGCAUUUUCCCCAAAAUCUUUUUUGUAACAAACCUUUUAAUUUGUAGUUCAAGCAUUUAUUUAGUAAAUAUUUAUUAAGAGUCUGUUUUUUGUAAUUAUUGUUGUUAUAGUAAAUAUAAAGGCUGGGACUAUCAAUCAGAGAAAGACCUCUCCUCGAGAAGACUGGUCCAGGUGGACAGGAAGUAGAAUUUAUUG
rnacentral:lncRNA from 10 species